AAAAAGAGAAAUAAAUUGGGUCAGACACAGUGCCCGCACAUGCAGCACAAUUUUUUUAUCUCUGCAAAUGGCAGAAAUUUGGAGGGCUAAUUGAACUUUUCCACAUUCUGUCAGGGUAGAAUACCGCAAGCUGUUGUUUUAAAUGAUAGACCGACACAAAGCAAAAGCAAUUUAUGGCAUGGGUUUUUAUUUAGCUGCCCUGGGUCAAAACUUGAGUCGCCGCAAUUACAACUUUAAGACGUUUGGGGUAUGUUUCUACCAGCUUUACAAAACCUAGAGACUACAUUUUUUUGCACCCUAUUAGUUGCAAAUUAGCUCAAGGUUAGCCCAAGUGGAUGAAAAACAUCAAAUUCACAGCUGGACUUUGACUAGUCCAUUCUAACACAGGAAUUUGGCUUGAUCUAAACCACUAUUUCUCUGGCACUGUGUGUUUAGGGCAGUUGUCCUGUUAGAAGGUGAACCUCCACCCCAGUAUUAAGUCUCUUGGGAUGGUGUGUUCAGGGUGAUGGCCAGCGUUACUUUUCCCUCCCAUGCAUAGCGUUUUGCAUGCAUGCCAGAAAGCGAGAAUUUGGUCUCAUUUGACAAAGGGAUCAUUCUUCCACGCCUGCUAUGUCCCCUACAUGGCCUGGGGCUAAUUGCAAACAAGAUUUCUUAUGGUUUGCUUUCAACAUUUGGUUUCUUCUUGCAAUCCUCUUGAGGCCAGAUUUGUGAAGUCUGCAACUAUUUGUGGUGCUGAUCCACAAUUCAUCUGGUCUGUGGAUAUCGCCGAGUUCUGCAGGAGUAACCAUGCGACUCUGGGCUGUUUCUCUGAUUAAUGCUCUCCCUGCACGGCCUGACCGUUUAGGUGGACGGCCAUGUCUCGGAUGGUUUGCAAUUGUGCCAUACUCUUGGAUUUUUAGAUGAUCGAUUAAACAGCGCUCUGUCAAAUGAUUUUGUGAUCUAAACCCGCCCUAAACAUUUCCACAACUUUAUCCCUGAGCUGUCUGCUGUGGCUCUCACCAUGCUACUGUUUAACACUAUUACA